rnacentral:rRNA from 1 species
CUUGCUACGGUAUAAUUUAGUGGCAGACGGGUGAGUAAUGUAUAGGAAUCUACCUAGUAGUACGGAAUAAUUGUUGGAAACGGCAACUAAUACCGUAUACGCCCCACGGGGAAAAAUUUAUUGCUAUUAGAUGAGCCUAUAUUAGAUUAGCUUGUUGGUAGGGUAAUAGCUUACCAAGGCAAUGAUCUAUAGCUGAUCUGAGAGGAUGAUCAGCCACACUGGAACUGAGAUACGGUCCAGACUCCUACGGGAGGCAGCAGUGGGGAAUAUUGGACAAUGGGCGAAAGCCUGAUCCAGCUAUGCCGCAUGAGUGAAGAAGGCCUUUGGGUUGUAAAGCUCUUUUAGUGAGGAAGAUAAUGACGGUACUCACAGAAGAAGUCCUGGCUAACUCCGUGCCAGCAGCCGCGGUAAUACGGAGAGGGCUAGCGUUAUUCGGAAUUAUUGGGCGUAAAGGGCGCGUAGGCUGACUAAUAAGUUAAAAGUGAAAUCCCGAGGCUUAACCUUGGAAUUGCUUUUAAAACUGUUAAUCUAGAGAUUGAAAGAGGAUAGAGGAAUUCCUGAUGUAGAGGUAAAAUUCGUAAAUAUUAGGAGGAACACCAGUGGCGAAGGCGUCUAUCUGGUUCAAAUCUGACGCUGAGGCGCGAAGGCGUGGGGAGCAAACAGGAUUAGAUACCCUGGUAGUCCACGCUGUAAACGAUGAAUGUUAAAUAUGGGAAAUUUAUUUUCUGUAUUACAGCUAACGCGUUAAACAUUCCGCCUGGGGACUACGGUCGCAAGAUUAAAACUCAAAGGAAUUGACGGGG